CUGCGGAGGGAUCAUUACCGAGUUUACAACUCCCAAACCCCUGUGAACAUACCUAUACGUUGCCUCGGCGGAUCAGCCCGCGCCCCGUAAAACGGGACGGCCCGCCCGAGGACCCUAAACUCUGUUUUUAGUGGAACUUCUGAGUAAAACAAACAAAUAAAUCAAAACUUUCAACAACGGAUCUCUUGGUUCUGGCAUCGAUGAAGAACGCAGCAAAAUGCGAUAAGUAAUGUGAAUUGCAGAAUUCAGUGAAUCAUCGAAUCUUUGAACGCACAUUGCGCCCGCCAGUAUUCUGGCGGGCAUGCCUGUUCGAGCGUCAUUUCAACCCUCAAGCUCAGCUUGGUGUUGGGACUCGCGGUAACCCGCGUUCCCCAAAUCGAUUGGCGGUCACGUCGAGCUUCCAUAGCGUAGUAAUCAUACACCUCGUUACUGGUAAUCGUCGCGGCCACGCCGUAAAACCCCAACUUCUGAAUGUGACCUCG
rnacentral:rRNA from 1 species